GGAAGGGUGGCCGAGCGGUUUAAGGCAGCGGUCUUGAAAACCGCCGUGCGGGUGACCGUACCGUGGGUUCGAAUCCCACCCCUUCCGCCA
rnacentral:tRNA from 1 species